GUAUACCUUAAAGGAAGGAGGCCGGGUAGCCUGACGCCCUGACCUCAACGGGAGGAGGAGGAGGGCGUGCUGCGGGAUUGAGGCCAUGGGAAGCAAGCAGACCAGAAAAACACCCCAAAACUAUUGCAAGUAAGGCUUCCAAGGUCCUACCCAUCUUAACUUGCAAUGUUGCUGGAGAAGUGGCGGUCAACUAUGAACUUGCAGUAAUGUUCCCCAAAGAUCUGUAGUUCACGAAUGCGGUGGUGCGGGACAGGGAGUAGAUGAAAGAGUAAUAAGAGGAUCACGGCGCUUGCACACCCAUUGAUGAUUUUCAGAAGGUCUUUCAUGUGCAGCUGCCAAUGAUGUGGUAUUGACGAUGGUUAUGCACACAGGUUCUAGAGGCUACUGAUCUCAGUAACAAUGUACUUGCCUCUCCAUUCCUAAGCGCUUUGUAGUUCUUUGAUUAACUCGGUAGAAUACGUACUGGGCCAUUUGUGAAUCCUUUUGGUGCUGAAGAUGAGAAGGUGCUUCUUAUGAACAACCCCGAAGAUAUUUCUCCUCCUACGUGCUCGACAGGUGAAGCAUGAACAGCUGGUACAUGAUGUCCACCCAGGUGCACGCACUCUUCUCCUCUUCCUGAUUUUUUGACUCCUUCCCGCAAGGUGUUCGAUGAAAUUCCAAGGAGGUUUGGGGAGGAUUGAUCUCUGUAAGCUAUGCGAUUUAGUUCUUCAAAAAUAUUAGUUCCAGUCAAUCAUGUCAAGAAUCCUAUAUAUUUUAGAUUUAUUUGUGCAAUUUCAUUUGUGCUACUUUUAACACAAUCUGUAAUGUUAUCAACCUCGCUGCCUAUUGUACGAAUCCCUUCUGGCCAGAUCGUCUCCUCUCACCCAGUUCUUACAUAGCAUUUUUUGUAGAGUAGUUUGAUUCACUGUUGUUUCUCACUUUACGGUGGUUGAGUUGGUGCGAGUCAAGGAAGGGCUAGGAGAGAUGAGAGCAUCCCAGUGACCGCCACCCGGCGACGCCGGUGGCCAGCACCUCGAGCCAGCUUUGACAUGGAUUGGAGCAAAGAGAAGAGUCACAGGAAGGUGAUUUGGAGGAAAGAGGUGAUCACCAUCUCAACAAAGAAAUUCUUACUCCAGGGAGCAUUUCUUACUAAAUAUCAAAAUCCUCUCAAUUCUUGUUCUUCUCAGUUCAUAGCCCGUCAGACAAAUAUGCAUGUCCAGACACACACUAUCUUCAGUUUUAGGUUUCCACAGUAAUUAUUAAGAGCCCAGACACACCCUUGCUGUGUUGCUUACAGGCUUGAGUGCGUUAAUUUGACCUUUUGGGACUGUAGGACAAAUCAACUGUACUACUAUUUUCCAGUUGCUCCUUCUUUUGGUAGGAUCUAGAGUUUUCUGAUGCCAGGUGUAUGCAUGUGUUACACAUUGAGUUCUUAAUUGUUGAAUUUGUUGGUCCUUUUUUCACUGCUUUAGCUCUUUGUUCCAUUACAGGAGAUAUCAACUCACUUUUCAUG